CAAGCUGUGCUCUACCGACAGGAUCCGUAUUCCUUUCUCCUGCUCUCCACUCCAUCGUCUUCCUCGCUACUGAAGCAAGACAUGAUCUAUUAUCCACAUAGUUGACCACUGUAGCAAAACCCUGACUACCACUGAGCAGAAACAAGCUGGAUGGGUAAGUAAUAACGAUGGGCUGCACUCCAUCUAAGUCGUCCAUGACCUACACACAGGAGCGGGUGUGUCGGGACUUGGACACUUGCUCCACCUUCGUCCCUAGUCUCAAGAGUUCUGUCUCUACCCCAGAGAGACCUUCGCCUCGGCUCUAUGUGGAAACCAACAGCGGCCAACCGACUUUCCUCAGUGUUCCGGUCCGUGAAACCUAUGGGUGGUCUGUAAGCCAGCCUUCCAGCCCGGACGCGUGGAACACUGCGUCCACCACCAACCCACUAUGUCUACCGCGAUCUAGUGUCAAGCCCAGCUGCAGCGACAGAGACAGUGACUCCGACCGCGAUGAGACUCACACAUCCAACUAGAGGUGAAAUCCCGAAGACUGGGGAAACUCUUCCCGCAACUGAAAAAAGAUCGUGGCCGGCGAUAGAAGUGAAAGAUUGGGAUAGAGCUAGCGAAAUGUUACCACUCUCAAAUAGAAAUAGAUAUGGAUGAAAGGACUGUCCGAUAUACAAAUACAAAUUUCAACCAUGUUUUCAGGAAAUAGGGUAUGUUUUACAUUAAAAAAAAUGACAUACACACUUGUAAAUGUUAAUAUCUUUAAGCAUCAAAUGUCAUUAAUUUAGGCCCAAAAUUAUUUACGUAGAAUGCUUUCUUAGACCCCUUAAUGAAUAUCGUUUUCCCUUAUGUAUGUCAUUGAUAUUAUUGUUUAUUGUCUAGAAUCUUACAGUAAAAGACAGUAUUUUUUAACUUUUGUAAGUCUUUUUUAAAGGCUGGUUGUAGUAUUCACUCAAACCCAGCACAUCAGUGACCAAAAUAUUGAAGGCCUAUCAGACCUGUACAUGUGUUAGAUCUAUGUAUUUUUAACCAUUAAGCUAAUAGUUGUUCAUGCAGAUUUGCACAGGUGAAAGAAUGAAUCACGGAUGGAGGCGUCUUCAAUGUUUAUCCAGCUGUCAUAGUACUUGUCUCUAGAUGUUACAAUCACAGCUCUUGCCAGUGUUGGUUUCAGUGGUUACAAUGUGACCACCUCGG
ensembl:lncRNA